rnacentral:lncRNA from 1 species
AAUAAGAUAUUGACCUUUAUCCCCGGCUUAGUAUAUAUCUAGGAUUUUGAUUGGUUAACGCACGUCGUUACAAAACCCAUAGCCCCUGGGUGUUGCUAACCCAUAUCCCCGGACGUUGCUAACCAUUGUCCCGGGGAACUUCACGCAAGUUUUCCUUAGUUCCAUGAUUGCUCCUUGUGAAAUAUUGAAUUAUGUAGAUUAUCCAUGAUGUUUUUAAUGAAAUAUUUAAUUCAUUACAAUUUUGUCCUAUUAUGCCGAUCAUUUACACUCAUUUCAUUAAAUGCAUCACUUGACUACCACAUUUUCAAGGAAUGGGACUACUGACCUAGCUAUGCAAAUGACCCACGUUGACGUCACACUAUCUUUGACGUAACUCUCACAACAUUGAGCGCCAAAUUUGACUCAAUCAAGUUUCUCUGUCUCCGUAUUAAAAACGUCUUAUAUUUGACUACCUGUAGGGUUCUACCAAAGGUAGUACCCUACACUCCGUAGAAACUAUGUAAAAUUUCCAAAUUUCAAUAAAACUUUUUUAGAUAAUGAAAAAAACGUUGUUUUCACGUUACACUUUGUACCCGAAUUUCCAUAAAAACUCGCC